UUAUGGCUCAGGAUGAACGCUGGCGGCGUGCCUAACACAUGCAAGUCGAGCGAUCUUCUCGGAAGAGAGCGGCGGACGGGUGAGUAACGCGUGGGUAACCUGCCCUGUACACACGGAUAACAUACCGAAAGGUAUGCUAAUACGGGAUAACAUACUUUUAUCGCAUGGUAGAAGUAUCAAAGCUCCGGCGGUACAGGAUGGACCCGCGUCUGAUUAGCUAGUUGGUAAGGUAACGGCUUACCAAGGCGACGAUCAGUAGCCGACCUGAGAGGGUGAUCGGCCACAUUGGAACUGAGACACGGUCCAAACUCCUACGGGAGGCAGCAGUGGGGAAUAUUGCACAAUGGGCGAAAGCCUGAUGCAAGCAACGCCGCGUGAGCGAUGAAGGCCUUCGGGUCGUAAAGCUCUGUCCUCAAGGAAGAUAAUGACGGUACUUGAGGAGGAAGCCCCGGCUAACUACGUGCCAGCCGCUGC
rnacentral:rRNA from 1 species